GGGGAUGAUACGGAUUCGACAGGGAUUGUUAUGUUUAAAUAGCAAGCCGUGAAUGCUGUUGUCACGUAAAAAAACAGCACCAUAUAAACGCAGAAGAAAAUUACGCAUUUGCUGCUUAAUUAAUUAGGCAGUCACUUCACUGAUAGAUUUUGAGCUUAAUCUUCCGUUGAGGUGUGAUCAAAAAGCUCUUACCAACAAAUCUUUUCUUUCGAGUUUGUUGGGAAACUAAAGAAAGAUAAGAUUAUACUUCCUGUCUGUUGGGAUUUAUAAUUCUGAAUCAAAACACAGACUAUGCUUGUAGAAGUUUUUAUCUAACAUUUCUUUGGACGUGGGUUCAACUCCCACCAUCUCCACCA
rnacentral:tmRNA from 1 species